rnacentral:tRNA from 1 species
GUCCCGUAGCUCAGUUGGUUAGAGCGCUACACUGAUAAUGUAGAGGUCCCCGGUUCAACUCCGGGCGGG